rnacentral:lncRNA from 1 species
UUCCAACUCAUCAUUAUUCAACAUAAUAUUUCUAGGCAGGUCAGCCAAAAUCAAGUCAGGGGCAAUCUGAGAUAUUGGAAUGGUGAGCCUUGGUUGAUCUGGAUUUACUAAGAGAUCUCCUUCCUCUGCUUUCUUCAUCAAGUCAUCAAGUAAGAUUUUUUGAUGUUCUUCACCAUCAUUAAAACUAUAUAAUGCCCAUUUCUUCAACAGAGUUUCUCCUUCA